rnacentral:lncRNA from 1 species
AUGUUCUAUCCUAAAAAUCCCAAGUCCUUCCACUGGAAAGGAGGAGAUGGGGCUGCAUGUAUUCCCUUUUCUGAACUCAGAUAUCCUUGGCUAAAAAAAGGAGUUCCAUCACUGGGAAGCCACAUCCACAAUCUAUGUCCCUAUGCUGGGGAUCCCAUGCUCCAUUCACACAAAGCACCCCUGUAUUGUGUAUGUGUGGGAAGGAUGGAGACCUAUAUGUUGUACCAUCAAGAAAGUCACCAUACUCAGUGCAAAAAAAAAAAAAAAGCCAUGGGCCAUCAUGAUCCUCAAAGACACUUGACAAGGCAGGCUGGUCCUCAGAUGAUACUGUUCUUUACCAGCCUCAUCCUUUCUUUCAAGGAUUGCCAGCACCUGCCCAAGCUUAGACUUGUCUGGCAUGGUAAUGUUUGGGAAUCCAAAUCAACCGCAUGCCAAAAUAUGACAUUUGGACUAGGGCUAGUAGAAUUUGGCUUUAUCAUUAUUUAAUAAAUACCAAUACAAUCAGAGCGCCUCCCUUUCCCUUUUCUGAUCUUUCCAUCUACUCACUACUCUGAAACAUUCAUCUUCCAUUCUAAUCUAAAUCAGCUCUUCACUGCCCCAGUAAAAUAUUAUACUGCCUCCUUCUCCCUUCCUCCUUCCUUCAGUUCUUUUCUCUCCUCUCCUUCCUUCCUAUCCAAAGCCUGCUCGUUUUUAGAGCCCGAGAAUUCCUGCCCUUGUAGGAUUCUUUCCUUUCUCUGGGAGAAGAAGACUAUUAGUAAAUGCUGCCAAACAUGGAGUUCAUUUAGAUGUAAUGCUCAAGAGGCCCAUUCUGAAUCCGUCAUUUUUAACAGAAUUCCAAUGUCUCUAGUCAUUCCCUCCUGGCCUCCUUUUAUGACUGCGGAGAAAAGUUUUUUAAUUCAGCCCUGUGCCAUUUCAUGGGGCUUCAAGGGGAAUGAAAAUGAUGAACAUGCUGCAGUUCUUGUGGAAUAA